rnacentral:rRNA from 1 species
UGCGUAAAGGAUAAGUGCUGAAAGCCUCUCAGCAUGAAGCCCCCCUCAAGAUGAGAUUUCCCAUAGCGUAAGCUAGUAAGAUCCCUGAAAGAUGAUCAGGUUGAUAGGUUCGAGGUGGAAGCAUGGUGACAUGUGGAGCUGACGAAUACUAAUAGAUCGAGGACUUAACCAUAUAA